rnacentral:rRNA from 1 species
UUGGUUCAGCCGGGCGAUGGUUGCCCCGGUCGUAAGGGACUGCAAAUGAGCGGGAAGUGAAUUUGGAAGAAGGCGAGAAAAGCCGUGUGAAUAGAAGAUAGAGCCCGUACCGCAAACCGACACAGGUAGAUAGGAAGAAGAUUCUAAGGCCAACGGGAGAAGGGUUGUUAAGGAACUCGGCAAGUUGACCCCGUAACUUAGGGAGAAGGGGUGCUCUUUAAGGAGAGCCGCAGAGAAUAGGCCCAAGCGACUGUUUAGCAAAAACACAGCUCUAUGCUAAAUCGAAAGAUGACGUAUAUGGGGUGACACCUGCCCGGUGCCGGAAGGUUAAGAGGAGGAGUGAGAGCUCUGAAUUGAAGCCCCGGUAAACGGCGGCCGUAACGAUAACGGUCCUAAGGUAGCGAAAUUCCUUGUCAGGUAAGUUCUGACCCGCACGAAUGGUGUAACGAUUUGGGCACUGUCUCAACAACCUGCCCGGCGAAAUUGUAGUACCGGUGAAGAUGCCGGUUACCCGCGACUAGACGGAAAGACCCCAUGGAGCUUUACUGCAGCUUAAUAUUGAAUUUCGGUAUUUCAUGUACAGGAUAGGUGGGAGACAGGGAACCAUAGGCGUCAGCUUAUGGGGAGUCGACCUUGGGAUACCACUCUUGAGGUGCUGGAAUUCUAACCUGUGGCUCUGAAUCGAGUCAGGGGACAUUGUUAGGCGGGCAGUUUGACUGGGGCGGUCGCCUCCAAAAAGGUAACGGAGGCGCUCAAAGGUUCGCUCAGCAUGGAUGGAAACCAUGCUUUUGAGUGUAAACGCAAAAGCGAGCCUAACUGCGAGACUGACGGGUCGAGCAGUAACGAAAGUUGGAGUUAGUGAUCCGGCGGUAUGUGAGUGGAAAUGCCGUCGCUCAACGGAUAAAAGCUACCCUGGGGAUAACAGGCUGAUCUCCCCCAAGAGUCCACAUCGACGGGGAGGUUUGGCACCUCGAUGUCGGCUCAUCGCAUCCUGGGGCUGAAUUCGGUCCCAAGGGUUUGGCUGUUCGCCAAUUAAAGCGGUACGCGAGCUGGGUUCAGAACGUCGUGAGACAGUUCGGUCCCUAUCUGUCGUGGGCGUAGGAUAUUUGAAAGGAGCUGUCCCUAGUACGAGAGGACCGGGAUGGACGCACCGCUGGUGCACCAGUUGUCAUGCCAAUGGCACAGCUGGGCAGCUAUGUGCGGAACGGAUAAACGCUGAAGGCAUCUAAGCGUGAAGCCGACCUUAAGAUAAGAUAUCCCUUCGUAAGAGUAAGACCUCUCAUAGACUAUGAGUUAGAUAGGCCUAAGGUGUAAGCACAGUGAUGUGUUCAGCCUGCAGGUACUAAUCGGUCGAGGGCUUUUCCG